rnacentral:rRNA from 1 species
GACGAACGCUGGCGGCGUGCUUAACACAUGCAAGUCGAACGAUGAAGCCUAGCUUGUUGGGUGGAUUAGUGGCGAACGGGUGAGUAACACGUGAGUAACCUGCCCCUUACUCUGGGAUAAGCGCUGGAAACGGCGUCUAAUACUGGAUAUUACCUUUCAUCGCAUGGUGUUUGGUGGAAAGAUUUUUCGGUUUGGGAUGGACUCGCGGCCUAUCAGCUUGAUGGUGAGGUAGUGGCUCACCAUGGCGACGACGGGUAGCCGGCCUGAGAGGGUGACCGGCCACACUGGGACUGAGACACGGCCCAGACUCCUACGGGAGGCAGCAGUGGGGAAUAUUGCACAAUGGGCGCAAGCCUGAUGCAGCAACGCCGCGUGAGGGAUGACGGCCUUCGGGUUGUAAACCUCUUUUAGUAGGGAAGAAGCGUAAGUGACGGUACCUACAGAAAAAGCACCGGCUAACUACGUG